UACGUAGGCAGCGAGCGUUGUUCGGAGUUACUUGGGCGUAAAGGGUGUGUAGGCGGUUGUUUAAGUUUGGUGUGAAAUCUCCCGGCUCAACUGGGAGGGUGCGCCGAAUACUGAAUGACUAGAGUGCGGGAGAGGAAAGUGGGAAAUUCCUGGUGUAGCGGUGAAAUGCGUAGAUAUCAGGAGGAACACCGGUGGUGUAGACGGCUUUCUGGACCGUAACUGACGCUGAGACACGAAAAGCGUGGGGUAGCAAAACAGG
rnacentral:rRNA from 1 species